AUUGAACGCUGGCGGCGUGCUUAACACAUGCAAGUCGUGCGGUAACAGGCGUAGCAAUACGUGCUGACGAGCGGCGAACGGGUGCGUAAUACAUGGGAAUCUGCCCUUUAGUGGGGAAUAACCCGGCGAAAGCCGGGCUAAUGCCGCAUAAGAUCUUCGGAUGAAAGCGGGGGGAUCGUAAGACCUCGCGCUGAUGGAUGAGCCCAUGCCGGAUUAGCAGUUGGUGAGGUAAAGGCUCACCAAGGCGACGAUCCGUAGCUGGUCUGAGAGGACGGCCAGCCACACUGGGACUGAGACACGGCCCAGACUCCUACGGGAGGCAGCAGUGGGGAAUAUUGGACAAGUGGGGAAACCCUGAUCAGCGACGCCGCGUGUGUGAAGAAGGCC
rnacentral:rRNA from 1 species